AUCCAAGGGGAUUCCCUCUUCAAGGAAACAUCCAGUGCCUCUCUCAGGAAAGUAGUAACUUGGAACAGAAUCUAGCAUGCCUGAGGAACACGGGAUGCUUAUUUUCUGUCUUCCUUGGCUGCCUACAUGG
ensembl:snoRNA